rnacentral:sRNA from 1 species
UAACCCUGCGGAAUGCUCAGGUCCGCCGCAUCUCCUGGGUCCGUAGGGUUCGGCUGGCCGGAGCGCGGUUGAGUGGCCUCCUCGUUAGCGGCCGCGUUUCGGCCGGCCACCCU